rnacentral:rRNA from 1 species
UGUCAAAUCAUCAUGCCCCUUAUGACCUGGGCUACACACGUGCUACAAUGGCCGCCACAAAGAGGUACGAAGCCGCGAGGCGGAGUGGAUCUUAGAAAAGCGGUCUCAGUUCGGAUUGUGGGCUGCAACCCGCCCACAUGAAGUCGGAGUUGCUAGUAAUCGCGAAUCAGCAUGUCGCGGUGAAUACGUUCCCGGGCCUU